rnacentral:rRNA from 1 species
ACGCUGGCGGCAGGCUUAACACAUGCAAGUCGAACGGUAACAGGGAUUAGCUUGCUAAUCUGCUGACGAGUGGCGGACGGGUGAGUAAUGCUUGGGAAUCUGGCUUAUGGAGGGGGAUAACUACGGGAAACUGUAGCUAAUACCGCGUAAAAUCUUCGGAUUAAAGGGUGGGACUUUCGAGCCACCUGCCAUAAGAUGAGCCCAAGUGGGAUUAGGUAGUUGGUUAGGUAAAGGCUGACCAAGCCGACGAUCUCUAGCUGGUCUGAGAGGAUGACCAGCCACACUGGAACUGAGACACGGUCCAGACUCCUACGGGAGGCAGCAGUGGGGAAUAUUGCACAAUGGGGGGAACCCUGAUGCAGCCAUGCCGCGUGAAUGAAGAAGGCCUUCGGGUUGUAAAGUUCUUUCGGUGACGAGGAAGGUUGGUAGGUUAAUAGCCUAUCAAAUUGACGUUAAUCACAGAAGAAGCACCGGCUAACUCCGUGCCAGCAGCCGCGGUAAUACGGGGGGUGCGAGCGUUAAUCGGAAUAACUGGGCGUAAAGGGCACGCAGGCGGCGACUUAAGUGAGAUGUGAAAGCCCCGAGCUUAACUUGGGAAUUGCAUUUCAUACUGGGUCGCUAGAGUACUUUAGGGAGGGUUAGAAUUCCACGUGUAGCGGUGAAAUGCGUAGAGAUGUGGAGGAAUACCGAAGGCGAAGGCAGCCCCUUGGGAAUGUACUGACGCUCAUGUGCGAAAGCGUGGGGAGCAAACAGGAUUAGAUACCCUGGUAGUCCACGCUGUAAACGAUGUCGAUUUGGGGAUUGGGCUUUGAGCUUGGUGCCCGUAGCUAACGUGAUAAAUCGACCGCCUGGGGAGUACGGCCGCAAGGUUAAAACUCAAAUGAAUUGACGGGGGCCCGCACAAGCGG